rnacentral:rRNA from 1 species
UGACCGCUGGCGGCGUGCCUAAUACAUGCAAGUCGAGCGAACAGACGAGGAGCUUGCUCCUCUGCCGUUAGCGGCGGACGGGUGAGUAACACGUGGAUAACCUACCUAUAAGACUGGGAUAACUUCGGGAAACCGGAGCUAAUACCGGAUAAUAUAUUGAACCGCAUGGUUCACUAGUGAAAGACGGUUUUGCUGUCACUUAUAGAUGGAUCUGCGCCGCAUUAGCUAGUUGGUAAGGUAACGGCUUACCAAGGCGACGAUGCGUAGCCGACCUGAGAGGGUGAUCGGCCACACUGGAACUGAGACACGGUCCAGACUCCUACGGGAGGCAGCAGUAGGGAAUCUUCCGCAAUGGGCGAAAGCCUGACGGAGCAACGCCGCGUGAGUGAUGAAGGUCUUCGGAUCGUAAAACUCUGUUAUUAGGGAAGAACAAAUGUGUAAGUAACUAUGCACGUCUUGACGGUACCUAAUCAGAAAGCCACGGCUAACUACGUG